rnacentral:rRNA from 1 species
UGACCUCAAAUCAGGUAGGACUACCCGCUGAACUUAAGCAUAUCAAUAAGCGGAGGAAAAGAAACUAACGAGGAUUCCCCUAGUAACUGCGAGUGAAGCGGGAAAAGCUCAAAUUUAAAAUCUGGCGGUCUUUGGCCGUCCGAGUUGUAGUCUGGAGAAGCGUCUUCUACGCCGGACCGUGUACAAGUCCCUUGGAACAGGGCGUCAUAGAGGGUGAGAAUCCCGUCCAUGACACGGACCGCCGGCGGUUUGUGAUGCGCUCUCAAAGAGUCGAGUUGUUUGGGAAUGCAGCUCAAAAUGGGUGGUAAAUUCCAUCUAAAGCUAAAUACUGGCGAGAGACCGAUAGCGAACAAGUACCGUGAGGGAA